GAUGAAGAACGUAGCGAAAUGCGAUAAGUAAUGCGAAUUGCAGAAUUCAGUGAGUCAUCGAAUCUUUGAACGCACAUUGCGCCCUGUGGUAUUCCGCAGGGCAUGCCUGUUCGAGCGUCAUUUCAACCCUCAAGCUCUGCUUGGUGUUGGGCCCUGCCCGCUGCGGCCGGCCCUAAAGACAGUGGCGGUGCCGCCUGGCCCUGAGCGUAGUACAUCUCUCGCUCCAGUGCCCGGUGGUAGCCUGCCAGAAUCCCAACUCUCGUGGUUGACCUCGGAUCAGGUAGGGAUACCCGCUGAACUUAAGCAUAUCAAUAAGCGGAGGA
rnacentral:misc_RNA from 1 species